AAAGGUGAAAAGAAAUCAUGUCUAGAAGUCAACCUAUCUACAGGCUACAGUGAAGAAUACUGGAGGAACAGGAGAGUGGAGAGAGUCCAGAAGAGAAAGGAAAUGGUACCUCUGAGAUUGCUGGAGCUUUGUUUGAUGAAAAGUGUGUUCCCACUGGAAAAAAUCCAUUGAAUGCAGGAUGCUGUGAAACUGGCAUAUGACACUGUGAAUAAUGUGCAUGGGCUUCUUCUCGAGGGUGCCUGUCUGGCCACUUUUGAUCCUGUAGCUUUCCUCUGAGCUGAAACUGUAGUCCAGGUUCAGUGUGAAUGACUGCACAGAAAACUAAAUUUUUAAGACAUUAAAAAGCAAAAUGCAGAGGGAUCAGGCUGGAGUAGCAGCAAAGAAAAUGUGCAGUCCCCUGCCAUCAACUUUUUG